rnacentral:lncRNA from 1 species
CUCAAAUAUGUUUACUUUAUUUUUGUUUGUUAAAAUUUUAAUUGGUAAAUACUUCUAAGGGUCGAUUGAACAAAAGGAAAACUUGAGAGGUUUAUUUGAGGGUUGGGUAAAAUUAAUAGGGUAAAAGAACCUACUGGAAGAUUCUAGAAUAAAGGCAGCUGGCCUCAUUUGGUUAGCAGAUAAUGCUGAAACCAAUGAAGGACAACCAGUUGUCUAAGUUGGUUAAAAACGAUGCUUGAAGGCUAAAGGAAUAAUUCUAUUAUUAUCUUCAACACAUGUCACUCCUUAAAGGCUAUAUAUAGACACUUUCUUUCACACACAAAUGAGAUUUUGGACCCUAAAAAAGAACCAAAAAGCUUCUAUAUUGCUUGAUUAAGAAAUUAGCAAGACCAUUUCUAAUUUUCUAUUUUAGUAAGAGUCUAGAAGAAUCUCUGCGGGAUUUCUGGUUUCUGGGUUUAAACAUGGUCUAAGGAAGCUAAAUAUUGUUAUUGAUUUGCUGCUUUGCUUAUACUUCUGCUCUUGCUGAGAUCCUCACUCCAUUUUUACUUUGUUUUUAUAUCCAGGUACUUCUUGGACCAUGAAGAAUAUGUGAAGUGCAAGCAUAGUUUCCAGUUGAAAUAUAUAGCUGAAAAUGUGAAGAUCUAAUGCUAAAUAUUGCCAUAUGCACCAGCUUCUUCCAAGUUUAUCUCGCCUCUUUAUUAGUUUUAGCUUUCUGCAGCUCUUAUGUAGUUUGUUCUGGGGUUUGUUUAAUGGCCACUCGCUGAAUGGGAAAUGUUAUACGUGAAGGUUUAGUUUAAUUCAUUGUUAUGAAACAUUCAAAAUUUCAAAUUAGUAUAUAAGGUUCUGGUAACCUAUGUGUGAAAAAGAUGUAAGAUCAUGAAUCAUGCAUGCUUAAAAGGAUAGUAUUUAACAUGUAUAUUUUCAGAACUUCAGCCUUAAUAGAAUAAUUAUAUGUAAUAGUAUGAUUAAUAAGUAGUUUUUCUAGGCUCAUGUUGUUAGUAUUAAUAGUAACACAAUAUUUUAAAGGUUUACAAUGUGGUUGCUUCGAUUUUGUGAUUUUCAGAACUCGUAUGUUGUGUUGUUUGUGUGUGAAUUAUAGCUAGUUGGGCCUCAUUAGGGCCUUAGUGUUGGAAGUAUCUUUGCCAAAAUGUGUAGAAUUCGGGGCUAGACCAAAUGGGGACACAUGGAUCGUGUCUAAGUUCGCUUGGUUUUAGUUGUUUCUAUUCCUUUAUUUGGGCUCAAUCUCGAGCCCAACCUUCGUCAGCUCUUAUUUUCCCAAAAUAUCUUAUCUUGAGUAGUGCAUUGGGUCUGUUGUUGGCCCAAGAUUAUUCAAU